rnacentral:tRNA from 1 species
UACUUGAAAGCGAAAAUUCGCACUAAGUUUCGGCCUUAGCUUUGAGAAAACAUAUCUCUCAAGUAU